ensembl:processed_transcript 4933400F21Rik RIKEN cDNA 4933400F21 gene
ACAAACAACAUGGGCUUCCCACUGAAAGCUUUAGGGCUACAGCACUGCCAAUCCCAAGCUCUGUGGCUCUGAGAGUGCAGUCAAUCUUCACUUCUUAAAGAUGGCUAUGAGGACAGACUCCCCCCGUCCUAGGUUAAGCCUGGGGUCUGCCCUGGGAGCUCUGGAUAGACCAGUGACAGGAGGAUUACUACUGGAUUCCUGACCUCAAGGAAUUGUUCCAUCUCACAAAGGCACGUGCUACCUCUGAGAGAGCACCUAAAUACACGACCAGCCCAGAAUGAUAAGCUGCAGCUGAGACAGGUGCAUUUGGGUGCUGCAGAAACAUGCCCACCCCCGGGAGCUCUUCAAACUCUUCAGCCAUCUCAAAGAUGGCUGAGCAAUGUUCCUGAUACUUGGUCGAGACUCGGAAUGGCAGGAAAGACCGGAAAACUGUCUCAAGUACAGGCGGUGAGUUGUCCGACCUCCAAGGAGGCUCCAAAGCAGCCACCCUUCUUCCCACCAUCAUUGUGACCAUGCUUCCCGGCGCUCUGCACUUCCCAACUCUGUCUCCUGCCAUGUGUCUGUCCGUCCACCACGUCUGCCCUCCACGCCACCUCCUAACAGCAUAGCUUCUAGUCUUUCCUCUGUUCUUUGGGCAGCCACUGAGAUUUACAGCUCGGUUGCCCUAGGAUGUCUUAGAAAUAUCUUCACAUAUCUUUUGAGUCCAUUCUCCAAUUCCUUUAUUAAUGAGACUAACCCCAAGAGAUGGCUCUGAUUUCCUCAGUAUCAUCUGGUGUACCAGAUGGGACUCCCCAAAUUCCGGUUACAGUAUCAGAAACAUCUUGGCAGGUGUAUUUUCCUGUAUCUGCCCUGAUAUUUAUAAACUUUAAGCAAUUCUCUAUAGAACAACAAAAUGGUUGGUGGAGACUGAAUAUCUGUAUAACAUUUUAGUAAGGAAGCCAUAGGCUAGUGUCACUAAAGUUUGUGGGUGUAGUGUUUAAAAGUUCCUUUUAAGCAAAACGAUGAUCACGAAGACAUUUAUUUAGAGACAUUUUUUUUUCCAAAUGAGUUCUAAGAAAUAGGAAAGGCCGAAAGAAACCAGUUGUUUGAGAUGAUUUCUGGGCCACUGACAAAGGCUUUUAUUCUUUGAAGAAUAGACAGAGAAUGGUCACUUGUGUAAUCCAGAUAUAGCACCUUAUAUACAUGAAACAGAGUUAAAUAUAGAGGAUGAUGGGUUAAAAAUUAGACCGCUUCUAAAGAGCAACAAUGUACAGCACAGCUUCUUCAAGGUUAACAUACCCUUUGACAAGAAUUUAAAAUUCAUUUGAGGGAAGAAAAAACGUUCACACCAUCAACUUACACACUUUUAUCACUCCCAUCAUGGCUGUCACCUCCACAACUCUACCAAGAUCAUCGCCACUUCAAGAACAACCAUCAUUGCCAUUGCUACCACCACCAUCUCCACCAAGACCACACUGCCACUUCAAGAACAACCAUCAUUACCAUUACCACCACCACCACCAUCUCCACCAAGACCACCUCCUACCACCACUGUCAGCUACACCUUUCCUAAAACCACUCCCAUCACCAUUACUACCACCUGUGCCAUCACUACCACCACCACCACUUCCACCACCAUCACUGCCACUUCCACCAUUCUGAGUGCUCCUUGCACUGCAGAUGCCAAUGGAGACAGCAUUCCAUCAUGAGUUCACACAGGAGGAAGGAGAAAGGAGACCCCACUAUUCAACAAGGUGUCUGUUGGGGGAAGAACAGGGAAGAUGCUACAUCUUAGCAGUUGUAAGUAUACAUCCUGGGGUAGGUUUUGAGCCUCAAAGGUGAGAAGCCCCAGGAGACCUCAUGUGCCUAGAUAAGGGAAACCCAAAGCCUGGCCCUGCAUCAUCAGCAUCACCUACAAACAGAUGCUCAACGUACAGCCUCAACCUUGACUCAUCCGCCCCACCUCAGGGCCUGGGUAAUGCUACUGGAUCUCACUUGGUCCACAUACUGCACAGCUCCCACACAACAAGACAGCCAUUGGUCACCCUGAGCAGGGUAUCCUGUGAGCUACAUGGGAGAUACAGCUGGGAAGACUUGCUGAAGACAUGCUGUGGGGCUGUGAGGCUUGAUCCCAGUUUCUCCACUUGUUAAUGCUAUGAACUCAGUCCCCCAGGGCCUCCGACUCCAUUUGCAAUAGGGCCCAGGCUGGUAGAAAUUAAACAGGGUUCUGAAUGAGAGCAGUAACUGCUCUCGCACAUCGGAAGCCCCUCACAUGCACAGUGAGCACUCAGCGCAUCGCUGCCAGCACCUGACUACAGAGCACACUCAGGAGCACUGGGCACGUGGCCAGUGCUGAUGUGCCGCACACAGAGAUGGGAGUAAGUAUGGCGGGUCUGGUGUGAUGCGAGAGGACGCCAGGAUGAGAACUGCUCAGUGUUUCCAUUUUCCCUCGUCUACAAACAAUUCUGAUACUUGGGACUUCAAAGGAAAUGAAGAAACCUAGGAAAAUAUUUCUUCCAUGUCAAUUUUAAAUCCCACCAACCUUCUCUCUAUAUAAUUACAGCUGUCAGUGUUGGCAUCAAGGGAAAACGGUGUCCUUGGCUUUAAAAUGUGGCCAUUAGGGACUCAGUUAAAAAUAAAUUCUCUUCCUG